GUUUGACUUUCUUGUACAGCUGCAGUUUGUGUGGUGAAGGUGCUCCCACAAUGUGGUUGGGAUAUUAAAUCAGAAUAAUUGAGGCUGGGAUCUCAAAAGCAAGUUUUUACAGUCAAUGGAGUCAUCGGGAUCUGAAUAUCAUUGGCAUUUAACUGUGGAAGGAGAAAGGAUGAGGCUGUCACUAGCUCGGCCAGCAUUUAUUGCUGCGUUUAC